rnacentral:rRNA from 1 species
UACGUAGGGGGCAAGCGUUAUCCGGAUUUACUGGGUGUAAAGGGAGCGCAGACGGCAGGGCAAGUCCGGAGUGAAAGCCCGCGGCCCAACCGCGGGACUGCUCUGGAAACUGUCAGGCUUGAGUGCAGGAGAGGUAAGGGGAAUUCCUGGUGUAGCGGUGAAAUGCGUAGAUAUCAGGAGGAACACCAGUGGCGAAAGCGGCUUACUGGACUGUAACUGACGUUGAGGCUCGAAAGCGUGGGGAGCAAACA